rnacentral:rRNA from 1 species
UACGUAGGGAGCGAGCGUUGUCCGGAUUCAUUGGGCGUAAAGAGCUCGUAGGCGGCUUGGUAAGUCGGAUGUGAAACCUCCAGGCUCAACCUGGAGUCGCCAUCCGAUACUGCCAUGGCUAGAGUCCGGUAGGGGCCCACGGAAUUCCUGGUGUAGCGGUGAAAUGCGCAGAUAUCAGGAGGAACACCGAUGGCGAAGGCAGCUCGCUGGGACGGUACUGACGCUGAGACGCGAAAGCGUGGGGAGCAAACAGG